CUAUACUAUCAAAGUUUAAAGGGAUCGGUGAAUUUUAACUUUGGAGUCCUCUAUGCUAAGGAUGUUCAGCCUACAGAUGAUGAAAUGUUCAGUAAUGUAUUUGCUGCAGCUCUGCUUACCCAAGCUUUGUGUUCCUUCUGUCCCACUGGGAGUUGCCCAGUUUGGUUGCAUCUGGUGAAAUUCACCCUGAGACCUUACAGAACUAGCUCAAACUACGUGAGAGCCAUUUGCAGUUCUCUCCAGACACCUGGAGAAUGGGUGACGUUUCUGAGGGUCUGGCAAGUGUACUUCUAUCAAAACUCAGUCUGUGAAGUUUCUGGGGAAAACCCUUCUGUGUCCUGAAGGGUUCAAACUCUGGUGAGGAUCCAGUUAUCAGGUGCUCACCUGGAUGGUUCCAGCUCUUAAAGUGAACACUUGUACUCUUACCCUGUAGUUUACAUCUAUUGUAUUUUUGUUAUUUUGCAAGAUUUUUUGUCUUUGCAAAAUAUUGUGCAUUUCACUCUUUGGAACCUCUCAGAUCGUUCUUUGGUGCAGCACCACCCCAUGGGACACUUGGCUGCUGUCCUGAAGGGGAUGGUCACUAAAAUUGUAAAUUCUGGAGAGUUUGUAAGUCUUCUGUCCCCAGGGAGGUACCAUGCUUUGUUUACUUUUGUUCUGUUUGUUAGGCGCUGCUUCUCGUUGCAAGUAUGAAUUUCAAACUGCCCUGUUCUUUUUUUAACUGUUUUCCUGGUUCUCUCCCUAUGGCAGGGAAAGACUCUCGUAUCCUUGUCGUCGGGCUCGGUGCUGUCCAAGAAGAUACGGAGACUAAAAAAAUCAUAAGAAGCAAAAUAUGACUGCAGAGAGAAGAAGCUGGAGAGAA